GAAGAAAUGGACAGAUGGACUCACACUCCAGCGUUUUGAUGCUCAUUCCAAAACCAAUGAGCAGACAGUUCAGGAGAUGUUAAACCUUGCUGUCAAGUAUAAUAAAGCAGUGCAGGAGGAGGAUGAGUUGCCUCCAGAAAAGCUAGCUAUUGCAAAUGUAGGAAGGCAAGAUGCAAAGAAGCAUCUUGAAGAGCAUGUCUCAAAUUUGAUGUCUUCAAACAUAGUUCAGACAUUGGGAACCAUGCUUGACACAGUUGUCUUCUGAAGUUCGUUUCUCGAGAGUCUGCAAAAAUUGUGUUUGAAAUCGCUUAAUAGGAACAUGUUUUUUGCUAUAUUUUUUUAAUGUGACCAGUACCAUCAUUUUAAUUCUGUGAUAGCAGCUGUUAUUCGAUAUGUUUAUGUUAUCUUUAGAUGACUUCUGACUUAUAGUGA